rnacentral:ncRNA from 1 species
CCUUAGAUCAGUUUUUCUUGACUUACACAUGCAAGUCUCCGCACACCCGUGAGAACGCCCUUCCCUCCACCUAGGAGAAAGGAGCUGAUAUCAGGCACAAUAACUUGCCCAAAACAUCUAGCCACGCCACACCCACAAGGGCCCUCAGCAGUGAUUAACAUUAAAAAUAAACGUCAGUUUGAUUUAGCCAAUGAAAACAGAGCCGGCCAAUUCGGUGCCAGCCGCCGCGGUUACACCAAGUGGCUCAAACUGAUCUUGUUCGGCGUAAAGCGUGAUUAAAGAAAUAAUAUACUGGAGCUAAACUUAAACUAUGCUGUAACACGCUUGUUUUAAGAAAGUCACACCCGAAAGAUGCCCCAACAUACCAACUUGAAUUCACGACAACUAGAACACAAACUGGGAUUAGAUACCCCACUAUGCCUAGUCGUAAACUUUAAAUUACACCCAAUCGCCAGGAAACUACGAGCAAAGCUUAAAACCCAAAGGACUUGACGGUGCCCCACAUCCCCCUAGAGGAGCCUGUCCUACAACCGAUACCCCCCGUUCAACCUCACCACUUCUAGUUCCUCAGCCUGUAUACUUCCGUCGUCAGCUUACCGCAUGAGCGAAACUCAGUAAGCCCAAUGUUUACUCACCAAAACGUCAGGUCAAAGUGCAGCAAAUGAAGUGGGCAGUGAUGGGCUACACUUUCUUCUAUAGAAAACACAAAAAACUAUGUGAAACCAUAGUUAAAGGCGGAUUUAGCAGUAAGGGGAAAACAGAGUGUUCCCCUUAACUCGGCACUGGGGCGUGUACACACCGCCCGUCACCCUCUCCAACAUAAAAUUUUAGUAUUUAACAAUUUACUACCCUCUAGGAGAGGCAAGUCGUAACAUGGUAAGCAUACCGGAAGGUGUGCUUGGACA